GUCGCCGUAGUUCAAUGGAUAGAAUAGCUCACUCCUAACGAGCUGAUACAGGUUCGAUUCCUGUCGGUGACA
rnacentral:tRNA from 1 species